rnacentral:rRNA from 1 species
AUACGGAGGGGGUUAGCGUUGUUCGGAAUUACUGGGCGUAAAGCGCAUGUAGGUGGUGUGGCAAGUUAGAGGUGAAAGGCCUGGGCUCAACCUGGGAACUGCCUUUAAUACUGUCACGCUAGAGUUCGGGAGAGGGUAGCGGAAUUCCAAGUGUAGAGGUGAAAUUCGUAGAUAUUUGGAAGAACACCGGUGGCGAAGGCGGCUACCUGGACCGACACUGACACUGAGAUGCGAAAGCGUGGGGAGCGAACAGGAUUAGAAACCCCAGUAGUCC